ACUUAAAAUCACACGAAUUAAAUAUGAGAUGAAAGAAAAAUAUUCAUUUAAGAAUAAGAGGAUUUAUACAACUUCAAGAACAAAAUUAAAGAUACAAAACCCUUAUUUCUCUGUUAGAGCCCUAAUGAAGGAAUUAAGCUUCCAUGGCAGCAGCACUGCAGUGGUCUCCCAUCACGGCUGCCUCCUUUCUUUCUCCGCCUUCUCCCUCCUUCUCUCUCUCUCUGACUUAUUUGAAAACUCAGCGAUAGGAAGAAGCUCGGUCUGAUCAGAAAAGAAUGCCCCUAGCCUUCACGUAUCGACUCCCUUUUAUAGCCUACCCACCUUUCUCUACUCCCCUCUUUCGAGGAUGCAGAGAUUGAGCUGAUCCGGUCGUUGGAACAGGGAGCUGAUCACGUUGAAGGAGUCGACGCUAUUCCUUGGAUGCAGGGGAUGAUGUGGAUGCUGGAACGGUGCUCACGGUUGAGAGGAGAUAAGGAUGAAUCACGGAGAAGACGCGGGAGGUUGCUGCGAGCUGGAACUCGUCUGUGGCUGGGAUAACAAUCAGUGGAGCUGGGAUGAAGCUUGGACGGCUGGAUAGCUCAUGCUGAAGAAUAGAUGCGAUCUCUUGGCAUGCAUCGCGGGAGAAAAUGGGGCACGGCGGACAGCUAGGAUGCUGGGACGUCGCUGACCAUGGGAGAUCUUGGGAAUUGGCUGGAUUCAUGCGGAUGGUGGACAUGAUCCGAAACAUUGGUGAUGCGGCUUCAACGCAGAGGAGAUGUGGACGUUUGAGAGGAUCUCAGAGGGAUGAGAUGGCUGGGAGUGAGCUGGGAGCAGGGGAUGCGGAAUAAGCUGGGAAUCUGGUUGGAUGCGGGAUAAGGAUAGAUCACGAACGGAAGCACAGAGGAAGCGGAUGGGAUGAAGUUUAGCUUGAUUCGGAAGAGAAGAUCCGGGAGAUAAUCUAUGGAAUCAGUCUAAAAUGACGGGAGAAAGUUGGGAUUCGUUGGAUUCAUCGCGGUUGGCUGGAAUGAGCAUGGAUAGGCUGGCACUCUGUUCCGAAGCAGGGGAUAAGGAUGCAAGGCUGGAUUCGUGAGCGUGGAUAGGCUGGUUCUCAUCCGAAAGUUGGGAAAGAUGUGGAGGAAAUGCGGAGAGGAUGGAACGAACGGGAUGAAGGGGAUUCGGAUAAGGAAGGGGCACACGGGAUGCUGAGAUUUGUUCGUGAACGGGAGGAAUCCGAAACGAGAGGAAGGUUGGAU
rnacentral:lncRNA from 1 species